rnacentral:rRNA from 1 species
CAGGUAGUAACAGAGGGUUUGAUCCCUGGCUCAGUUGAACGCUGGCGGGAUGCUUUACAUACGUCGAACGGCAGCACGGACUUCGGUCUGGUGGCGAGUGGCGAACGGAGUGAAUGUGUAUCGGAACGUGCCUAGCUGGCGGGGAUAACUACGCAGAAAGCGUAGCUAAUACCGCACGCCCUUCGGGGAAAGCGGGGGAUAUUCGGGCCUCGCACUAUUGCGGCCGAUAUCAGAUUGCUUCUUGGUGGGGUAACGGCUCACCAAGGCGACGAUCCGUAGCUGGUUUGAGGACGACCAGCCACACUGGGACUGAACUGGCCCAGACUCCUACGGGAGGCAGCAGUGGGAAUUUUUGUAAUGGGGAAACCCUGAUCCAGCCAUCCCGCGUGUGCGAUGAAGGCCUUCGGUUGUAAAGCACUUUUGGCAGGAAAGAAACGGCACGGGAUAAUACCCCGUGCAACUGACAGUACCUGCAGAAUAAGCACCGGUAACUACGUGCCAGCAGCCGCGGUAAUACGUAGAGGUGCACAAGCGUUAAUCAGAUUACUGGGCGUAAAGCGUGCAGGCGGUUCGGAAAGAAAGAUGUGAAAUUUCUGAGCUUAACUUUGGAACUGCAUUUUUAACGAGUUAGAGUGUGUCAGAGGAGGUGGAAUUCCGCGUGUAGCGAUGAAAUGCGUGGGUAUGCGAAUACCGAUGGCGAAGGCAGCCUCCUGGGAUAACACUGACGCUCAUGCACGAAAGCGUGGGGAGCAAACAGGAUUAGAUCUCCUGGUAGUCCACGCCCUAAACGAUGUCAACUAGCUGUUGGGGCCUUCGGGCCUUGGUAGCGCAACUAACGCGUGAAGUUGACCGCCUGGAAGUACGGUCGCAAGAUUAAAACUCAAAGGAAUUGACGGGGACCCACUACAAGCGGUGGAUGAUGUGGAUUAAUUCGAUGCAACGCGAAAAACCUUACCUACCCGACAUGUCUGGAAUCCCGAAGAGAUUUGGGAGUGCUCGCAAGAACCGGAACACAGGAAUUAGCAUGGCUGUCGUCAGCUCGUGUCGUUGAAUCAUUUGGGUUAAGUCCCGCAACGAGCGCAACCCUUGUCAUUAGCUGCUACGAAAGGGCACUCUAAUGAGACUGUGGUGACAAACCGGAGGAAGGUGGGGAUGACGUCCUCAUGGCCCUUAUGGGUAGAAUACCACACGUCAUACAAUGGUCGGGACCAGAGGGUCGCCAACCCGCGAGGGGAAUCCAGAAACCCGAUCGUAGUCCGGAUCGUAAUCUGCAAACUCGACUGCGUGAAGUCGGAAUCCUUAGUAAUCGCGGAUCAGCAUGUCGCGGUGAACGUUCCGGGUCUUGUACACCCGCCCGUCACACCAUGGGAGUGGUUUACCAGAAGUAGUUAGCCUAACCGUAAGGAGGGCGAUUACCACGGUAGGAUUCAUGACUGGGGUGAAGUCGUAACAAGGUAG